rnacentral:rRNA from 1 species
AGGCAGCAGUGAGGAAUAUUGCGCAAUGGGGGAAACCCUGACGCAGCAACGCCGCGUGUGGGAAGAAGGCCUUCGGGUCGUAAACCACUUUUGCACGGGACGAAAAAGGGAUAUCGAACAAAUAUCCCCGAUGACGGUACCGUGAGAAUAAGCCACGGCUAACUCUGUGCCAGCAGCCGCGGUAAGACAGAGGUGGCAAGCGUUGUUCGGAAUUACUGGGCGUAAAGAGUCUGUAGGUGGUUUGUCAAGUCUUUGGUGAAAGGCCGUAGCUUAACUAUGGGAAUGCCAAAGAGACUGGCAGGCUGGAGGCUGGGAGAGGGAAGCGGAAUUUCUGGUGUAGCGGUGAAAUGCGUAGAUAUCAGAAGGAAGGCCGGUGGCGAAGGCGGCUUCCGUGGAACAGUCCUGACACUGAGAGACGAAAGCGUGGGGAGCAAAC